UUGGAGAGAGAGAGAGAUCAUAUGAUGAAUUGCUCUUGCUGAUGAGUUGCUCGUGGACAAAAAAAGUAGGGUAGACAUGCAGGAGAUAGUUUGUGAAUAUAGAACAUUUUCUUACCUCUAAAUAUAGACUACAUUGAGCAUUGCUGUUCCAAAAAAAAUUGGGAUCCAUACCAUUCACUGAACCAUCCCUAAUUUAGUUGUCACGGUUAGCCGGAGUGUUUUUAAAAUUUGGGAAAGCUCAUUAAUGUAAGUGUUGUAGGGAGUAUGUCAUUGAUGGCCAUUGGCGGAGUAUAGAGCUAUUCAUUGUAACUACCACAAAUACCCAUAGGGAAUUAGUCUGUGGCAGGCCCAGUAGAAUAUUGUUUAGGGCACUAUAGGUAUGUGACUAGAAGGAAAUGUUCAUAAUGAGAUUGUUCCACCUCCAAAUAUGGUGGUAUACACAAGGCAUAUAAUUGUGUUUGACAGAUAAGACACCUGGUUUGGUUCCCAGCAUUGUUGGUGAAAGGGCUAGGGUCAAGGUGUAAUGUUGUUGUGGGGGGGGCUUCUUCCUAUCCUCCCCUUCACCCCCUGAACUCACUAGAGUGGAAAGUAGUAGUAAGUAUGGUUGGUAACCGGGUACCUGAUAUGAAUAACACAGCCGCUAUUGGAAAAGUUAAGUGGAACUACAAAUACUUGAUACUACUACAUGAGAGUGGUAUCAUGUAACUCUUGGCAAGAAAGCUAAUAAACCGAUUUCUCAAAAUGUUAGACAUUUCAUUUAUCAUACAUAGAUAUAAACAAACAGGCAUUGGGGAAUUACAUACACUAUCUCAGCUGCAGUCUGAAAAGAAGAGGUGUGAGGCGAAUUUGCAACAAUCGGCGUUAAGGGGAUAUUUAUUUAUUUAUAUAAAUAUCUACCACUGUUUGGUUGCGAAAUAAACUACCACUAAGGGACUUUGAUCACCAGUCACCAAAUGUAUACAAACAGAGGGCUGUAACUUAACUGGAGUGCACACUUCCUAACAAUGUGAAGCAUGUUAUGAGUUGACACAACCCACUUUGUCUUUUGUCUCUUUACCAAUUAGAGAUGCAGAUCUGACAGGGUACUCGCUCAGCCCUGGUAAAUCUCUCUUGCUUGGGACGUGCUCUGUUGCUCCUAUGGCAUGGAAUUUGCACCCAGACAGCCAUCCUCACACUGCCGGGCACUUGAACUGGGCCACAUUGUCUUUGAUGCUUGCUUCUCCACGCAACAGUAUUCUCUCUGCCGUGGCCCUGUAAGCCCUCUGCUAAGAGGCUGAAGUUGGCAGGCCAAACAAAGAGACGUCUCUCCACUACAUGCCCCUCCACUCCUCUGUUGCCCAUUAAGUCUGUUGUCACUACAUGUGUAUUCAACACAUUUCCUGUUUCACUCUCUAUUUUUUAGGUUUGUUUUUGUCCUUAGUAAUCCAGAUGAUUGCGUCCACUCCCAUCCCUUCCACAUCCAUUCUGUUAUCCCUCAGAGCUCAAAUGGAUUUAUGCCUCGGUGUCUGUGACUUUGUUUUGCAUGUGCUGUCUGGAUAAAGACAGGCUGCCAGACAAGUGCUUAGUGACUAAGUUAGAGGAAAAUAAAAGUGACAGAAGUUUCACCAUUAAUGUUUUGGUAACAUACCAGGAUAGCUGCUCACUAAGGUUCUAUGGACCUAGGCAAGACAUUUAUAGGAAGCUUUAUUGGCAAGGGGUGACCACCCCAAUGCAGCCCUACAGUGAACUCCAGGCUGGCCUCUGUUCCACAAACUACUUUAACUUAACUCAGUCUCUCAUUAGGGGUUUCUUUCUGUAAAAAUGUCUUCUUAUUAGGGUUAGAGAGACGCGGGGCAAGCUGGUGUGUUUACCUGAGGUGUAGGCCUCUUAUGUGUCUGUGUCUGAGUAUGGGGAGAAGAGAAUUCCGAGGAAGGUGCUUAGCAUAUUUAAAAUGUAGAAGAAUAAUAAUAAUAAUAAUAAUAAUGUUCCUGUUCAUUAAAACAUGCUGGUUUAAUGUGGAAAAAUUAGGAUUUUUUUUUUUGUUUGUUUUACAAUCGCUCUGACUGCUCAGCUAUGGGCGAUGGCAUCAUCUAUCGGCCCAACCCUACUUCUAAUGUCUACCAUAAAUAUAAUGACCACUAGCCACUUCCUAUUCAGAAGUAAAAAUUUUGCAACUUUAACACAGUUAAAUGAUUCAUUUAUUAGCAUACAAAAAUCUACUCCCAUAAAUGUAUCAGUGGGGGUACUUGGGUCAUUGUAAUUUGGUUUGUUUCCAUUCAUAAUGUUCACCAUUACUCCUUUCUAAUGUCAUUUUUCCAACUUUAGAGCUGUAACCUCUGCUGUCUAAGACUUAUGGAAAAUGGUGUUUGUUAAAGCCAUUGAAUGUUAAAAAAAAUACCAUCAAUAUUUAGAUAUAUUAUGGAAUGAACUACAUAACAAUGCAUUAUGUAAGCUUAUGUACUAUUUAUUGCAUACAUAUUAAUACUAAACCCAAACCUUGCUUACCUUAUCCCUAUUGUCUUCGAUGCCGACCAUACAUCUGCUUUAGGUGGCGAAGCGAGCAGCCGGCCCUCCAGGAUUAGGAUGAGUUGUGGACAUUUCUUGUAAUGCUUAGUGAAUUUAAAAACUGUUAAAUGUACUUCAACUUCCCGGCGAGUUACAACAGAGCCAGAUUAUAAAAUAGAGGGAGUGUGCCAAUGACCAUAUGAAUCUCGCUCUCUGGAGUUUUCUUUCUUCACCUCUGCAUGUGUACUUGGCUCUGUUUGGAUGCAAACGGACAUAGGACACUAUUUGAAAACGGGCUCUAGAUUGCGGUCUCACUGCUCACCUUAACCCAUGACUCAGUGAAGUGGAGUUGGCAUCAUACUGUGAGGAAGACUUGAUGCACCUACUUAGCAUAUUUAAUAUUCAUGUCCCCUCUCUUCCACAGGGAGCUGACAAAGACCGAAAAGGACCGGACGGCAUUAGUGCCUUUGAAGCUGCCGAGAGUGAUGCCAUAAAGGCUCUGCUCAAGUGAGACACCACAGUGUGGGAGGUGGCUGGACAGGGACCAAACACUGGGGGAGCGCUCUCGCACCUGGAUCCUAGAACACUGCUCAAACUAGAAAUCACUCUAAUAAUGUAAAUGCAAAGCUUAGCACAUAAAUACACAUCUCUCAUUUGCGGUUCUCUCUUAAAACUGUAAAGAAUUCAAAUGGUAAUGGAUCAAUAGUGUGUUAACAUUUUUUACACCUUCAGUACAAGUAUUGUAUGGUCAGGGCUUAAUCUCAUCAACAGUAAUUUCACUGUACUUUACUAGGUAGAUUGAAAGAGAAAGCUUGUAAAGUUUCUUUAUAUUGACCUUUCAUUAUGUGUGGCCUCUUCCUCUAUCUUGAUUUUGUUUUUUAAUAAACCAAACUGUCCCUCCAAUCUUGAAAUUUAGGAAAUGUUGAUUUUCCUUUUCUACUUGGCAUAUCACUUACAUAUCAAAUGGUGUUUUUGACAAAUUUUACGUUGGAAAUGCAUAAAAGAUAUUCUGUGUUCUUUGACCAAUCACCAUGCUGGCUAACUAGAAAGACUUGAAUGUUGCAAUUUAAAAAACCUGUUACUGAAUCCCUUUUUGAAGUAACGUUAACAGCAAAUAAUAGAAUAAGGAAUUUUAGAAAUGUGUUCAUUUUGUGAUCCCUGGAGUGAGAUUUCAGAGCAAAAAUUCCCAUUUUUUUGCAGCUUCUCUUUGUGUUUUGUAAUUGAUGGGCUCUGGGGGCUCUGAAUGAUGGGUAAAUGGGGGUUAGAGUUGAAACUGGAUGGUGGGGGCUGCUAGUGUUUCCCUUGCCUUGGAUUCGGUUAGAAGCCCUGCCUGUUUUGCUGCAUGUCAAAAAUUGCCUCUGCUUUUACUCUAUGAAAUGGUCGCUGGUCUCUCUUGGUUGCUUUCAAAUUGAUUACUACAAUGUAAUGGACAAAAAAAGAUGCUCUUGCUGACUUUGUUGUGACAAAAAGUCUGUAAAAACAAAUAAAAAAUAUCUAUAAAAAUA